AUUGAACGCUGGCGGCAGGCCUAACACAUGCAAGUCGAGCGAGCGGCGGACGGGUGAGUAAUGUAUGGGGAUCUGCCCGAUAGAGGGGGAUAACUACUGGAAACGGUGGCUAAUACCGCAUACUAUCGGAUGACCCAUAUGGGAUUAGCUAGUAGGUGGGGUAAAGGCUCACCUAGGCGACGAUCUCUAGCUGGUCUGAGAGGAUGAUCAGCCACACUGGGACUGAGACACGGCCCAGACUCCUACGGGAGGCAGCAGUGGGGAAUUUUGGACAAUGGGGGAAACCCUGAUCCAGCCAUCCCGCGUGUAUGAUGAAGGCCUUCGGGUUGUAAAGUACUUUUGGCAGAGAAGCGGUAUCUGCAGAAUAAGCACCGGCUAACUACGUGCCAGCAGCCGCGGUAAUAC
rnacentral:rRNA from 1 species